AUUGAACGCUGGCGGCAGGCCUAACACAUGCAAGUCGAGCGGAUGAAGGGAGCUUGCUCCUGGAUUCAGCGGCGGACGGGUGAGUAAUGCCUAGGAAUCUGCCUGGUAGUGGGGGAUAACGUCCGGAAACGGGCGCUAAUACCGCAUACGUCCUGAGGGAGAAAGUGGGGGAUCUUCGGACCUCACGCUAUCAGAUGAGCCUAGGUCGGAUUAGCUAGUUGGUGGGGUAAAGGCCUACCAAGGCGACGAUCCGUAACUGGCCUGAGAGGAUGAUCAGUCACACUGGAACUGAGACACGGUCCAGACUCCUACGGGAGGCAGCAGUGGGGAAUAUUGGACAAUGGGCGAAAGCCUGAUCCAGCCAUGCCGCGUGUGUGAAGAAGGUCUUCGGAUUGUAAAGCACUUUAAGUUGGGAGGAAGGGCAGUAAGUUAAUACCCUGCUGUUUUGACGUUACCAACAGAAUAAGCACCGGCUAACUUCGUG
rnacentral:rRNA from 1 species